CCUACGGGAGGCAGCAGUGAGGAAUAUUGGUCAAUGGGCGCAAGCCUGAACCAGCCAAGUCGCGUGAGGGAUGACGGUCCUAUGGAUUGUAAACCUCUUUUGUCGGGGAGCAAGGCCCGCCACGUGUGGCGGGAAGGAGAGUACCCGAAGAAAAAGCAUCGGCUAACUUCGUGCCAGCAGCCGCGGUAAUACGGAGGAUGCGAGCGUUAUCCGGAUUUAUUGGGUUAAAAGGGUGCGUAGGCGGAAGGUUAAGUUAGCGGGAAAAUGUCGGUGCUCAACACCGGCCUGCCGUUGAAACUGGUCUUCUUGAGUGAGCGAGAAGUAUGCGGAAUGCGUGGUGUAGCGGUAAAAUGCAUAGAUAUCACGAAGAACUCCGAUUGCGAAGGCAGCAUACCGGCGCUCAACUGACGCUGAGGCACGAAAGCGUGGGGAUCGAACAGGAUUAGAUACCCUGGUAGUC
rnacentral:rRNA from 1 species